rnacentral:rRNA from 1 species
AUGCAGUUAGGCGAUCUGGAGGCGAUCGCCUCGCCGCCGCCACCGCCGGCCGCCGUGCCCUCUGUGUGUGGCCUCUCUUCCGCGUCCAAGCCCAGGCUGGCCGUCGGAACAGCAGCGGCCAUGUCCGCAGACCGAUCGCUUGGCCCCCAGGUGCCCAGCGUCCCAGCCGCCUCCGAGUCAAGAUCGGGUUGCCCUAACCCCCGUCGCAAGGAAACUCACGUAAACGACUCCAUAAAAUCGUCUAGGGCUUCGGCGGGUCUACCAAAACGACAACGCAAGCCGCCAGAUCGGAGUCUUGAGAUCUCCAUUUCGCCGCCGCCCGCUAAUAUGUCGCUGCCGUCGCACGAGUCAGGAAAGAAGCCGCUGGCGGCCAUGGCGAACUCGGAGGAAGGUGGGGGCGCAUACGGGGCUCCCUCUGUGGAUGCUGCUCGCCCGAAGCCUACCUCCGAGAGGUCCGAGGCUGCUGCGCGGAUCAGCCCACGGCUGCAGACGCUGACAAUAUGGAACCAGUUGAAGACGGCGGGAUCGGCGGGAACGGCGAAGCCGGCGGGCACGGCAAGGUCGGCGCCGGUGGCUCGCGAGCGCAACAUCCGGUAUGAGGAAGGCCCGGAGGCUUUCAGAGAAGGAGAGGAUUCCGAGGACGAUGCCGAGCUCGUGGAGGUCGACUUGGAGGAAGAUGGUGUGCUACAGGCACAGGAGCACCCAUGGACUGUGAUAAUGCUUGUGUACUCCUUGGAUCGGCCAUCCCCUAGUACUCUGUUUGAAAAUAUUGCAGAUGGUUGGAGGUUGAAGGAGAACUUUGAUUAUGCUUACCAAGGUGAUAACAAAUAUCUCGUGCACUUUGGUUGCGAGGCCGACAUGUCUCGUGUCCUACGGGGAGGGCCAUGGCAGUAUGAGCACGAUCCGCUGCUGAUUGAGGCGUAUGAUGGUAUGAGGCAAGUGUCAGACUACAAGUUGGACAAGAUGAGGAUCUGGGUGCGCAUCCUGGAUGUGCCCAUGAACUGGAGGACGGAGACUGUGGUAAAAGCACUCUGCGCCAACUUAGGAACAAUUUUGCAAAUGGAGCUCGGUGAGAAGACGGGCAACUAUGUGCGUGUCUGGGUGGCCGUUCCGGUGUACCGGGCGCUUGAGACAUCUGUGGCCAUGACUGCCAAGCUGCAGGAGAAGAAAACAAGGGUUGAGUUCCAAAUUCAGUAUGAAAAACUGCCAGACUUCUGCUACACAUGCGGCUACCUCGGACAUAAGGAGAAAUCGUGUGGCCGGAAGGUGAGAGGAGGACCUCCAUCUGGCAAGUAUAGCGGCAAACUCAAAUGUUCUCCACCACGCCGCUUUGGGAGACAGUCCGGAACAGUGAAAGCGAAGGUCAACCCGAUGGCGUACCGCGGCCUUGAUUUCUCUUCAGAGAGCACAGGGUCGUCAGCCCGAGGCGGACGAGGCGCGCGGCGCCCGGAAGGCAGUGCGGCGAGGCGUCAGCAGCAUGCAGCAGAUCACAGCUCUGGAAACCCUGCCGUUGAUGCAAUGCUAGCCGAAAAGAUGCAAGCCAUGUCAGGAGGCAGCAAGGGUGCAAUGGAAGAUUGCCAUGCACAUGCAGAUGCCCACGUGCAUGUUCAGGUACAGGAGCACACCUCCAAAGGCACACAACACUCGGACUACUCCCAGCCGAGGAGCUCGGAUAUGAUCCCGGCGCUGCGUAAUCUUUCUCAGAAAGUGAAUAUGGACGACGUAGACCUCUCUGAUGGCGUCUCUGCAUUGGGCAAGCGGGCCGCUGCUGGUGAUCAAGUCGCUGCUGUAGGCGGGGAGGAGGCUAGCAAGGCUUUGGUGAUUUAUGCUAAUACGUCCAGUAAGGACGAGCUUGUGGUUUCAGGUACGCCAAAAAAGCGCAGGACACUGGAGUCUCUGGACGGGCAGCAGACUCCGCAUGGCGAUGGGAUGAUGGAGCAGGACAUGGUGGACGGAACUAGUACCAUGGAGGCAGUCGGCCCAGGGGCCGCCGACGAACUGACGGGGCCGGCGGAGCCCCGUCAGGAGCAAUGA